GACGAACGCUGGCGGCAUGCCUAACACAUGCAAGUCGAACGAGACCUUCGGGUCUAGUGGCGCACGGGUGCGUAACGCGUGGGAAUCUGCCCUUGGGUUCGGAAUAACCAGGAGAAAUCCUGGCUAAUACCGGAUGAUGACUUCGGUCCAAAGAUUUAUCGCCCAGGGAUGAGCCCGCGUCGGAUUAGCUAGUUGGUGAGGUAAAGGCUCACCAAGGCGACGAUCCGUAGCUGGUCUGAGAGGAUGAUCAGCCACACUGGGACUGAGACACGGCCCAGACUCCUACGGGAGGCAGCAGUGGGGAAUAUUGGACAAUGGGCGAAAGCCUGAUCCAGCAAUGCCGCGUGAGUGAUGAAGGCCUUAGGGUUGUAAAGCUCUUUUACCCGGGAUGAUAAUGACAGUACCGGGAGAAUAAGCCCCGGCUAACUCCGUGCCAGCAGCCGCGGUAAUACGGAGGGGGCUAGGCGUUAUUCGGAAUUACUGGGCGUAAAGCGCACGUA
rnacentral:rRNA from 1 species